GACGAACGCUGGCGGCGCGCUUAACACAUGCAAGUCGAACGAAGCGGCGGACGGGUGAGUACCACGUGAGUAACCUGCCUUAGACAUUGGGAUAGCCUCGGGUAACCGAGAUCAAUACCAAAUGGUCUAAGAUGGACUCGCGUCCCAUUAACAGGUUGGCGAGGUAACGGCCCACCAAGGGGACGACGGGGAGCCGGCAUGUGAGGGUGGACGGCCACAUUGGAAGGGAGAAACGGUCCAAACUCUACGGGAGGCAGCAGUGGGGAAUAUUGCACAAUGGAGUGAACGCUGAUGCAGCGACGCUGCGUGAACGAAGAAGGCGUUCGAGUCGUAAAGUUCUUUUAUAUGGGAAGCGGUACCAUAAGAAAAAGCCCCGGCUAACUACGUGCCAGCAGCCGCGGUAAUAC
rnacentral:rRNA from 1 species